GCCGGAGUGGCGGAACUGGCAGACGCACAGGACUUAAAAUCCUGGGGUCUCUAAAAAGACCGUACCGGUUCGAUUCCGGUCUCCGGCACCA
rnacentral:tRNA from 1 species